GCGGGUGUAGUAUAAUGGUUAUUAUGUCUGCCUUCCAAGCAGAAGAUGGGGCUUCGAUUGCCCUCACUCGUUCCA
rnacentral:tRNA from 1 species